UGCUCCAUACACAUUUCCAUGGAGACACUGUUCUGUCAGAUUGCCUCUCUGUUGCCAUCUGUCACACGGCAACAAAAUAUAAUGGAAUAUUGGUGGGAAAGUUCUGCCUCUACUGCCAUCCCACCAAUAUCCGCCUCUGAUAUUGUAAGCCAACUUCAUAGAAUAGGAGGCAUUACUUUUAUAUCUCAGCUAUUAAUAAAGACAAGGAGUGGGUAACUUUGUUUAGUCAGAAGAAUCAGGAGUUUGGGAUCAUAUUUAGUUGACAAGAGCAUGAGGAAUGCUGAAGCUCCAAUAGUCACUGCUACCUACUAUCUUCUCAUCACUUUGUACCGCCAUCCCAUCCUUGGAUUCAAAACAUGAACGAAUAAAUGGUAGAGUAAAUCAUCCAGACAUCCAUCUCAACAGAAAGAGCAAAUCUAAGAGAAUAUGAAGUUACAAGCGGAAGAUGGCGCUGCAUGGAAGGUCUGCUGCUGUGCUGCCUGUUGGAGACUUGCCUUGGGGUGAGGGCUACAGAAACAAAAACAGUUUGGUGCUGGGAGCUCCUCCUUGCUGUGGUAUAAGCUGGCUUCCUGCUGACCUCACAUCUGCCUUUGCACAGGUUUUGCUGAGAUCGAGAUGGUAGAGUGAAGGCAAGUAUUAUGCACUGGAGAAAUGUGUUAGACAUAAAGGAGAGCACACAGCAGCCAUGCUUUGUCUGGCACAGCAUUUUAUAGGGUUAAAAGGGAACAAUUGGAAUGUAGGUCCAUGCUGGCCAGUUUAGCCUCACCCAAGAUGUCCCAGCUUUGUUUCAGUGUGGUGAUGAAACAGCAGAGGUUUCAUAAACCUGGGUUUACUUAAGGAGAGAAUGACAGAGCAAAGUAUUACUGAGUCUUGUCACAGCAACCUGCAUGUCCAGAAUGGAACUGCUAAGCCAACAAUAGGAGGAGGGUAGAGCUGUGGGACCCCUGUUUGCCUUUCAUCAACAACCUUGUUGCAAUGCAGCUUCUUCUUCAUAUCUCUGGUUUCUCAUGAUAUAAUAUUUGGCCCAGUAAAUGCAAGGCUUGGGUUUGGUCUUUAAUCAGAUAAUACCCAAAAAUAAGCAUUAAAAAAUAUUCACCUCUUAUUAAAAAGUGAAGAAGAAAGCACAGAUGCAAAAUAAAGUUUAGGCAUCAUAAAGAAACCACCACCAAAAAGGCUGGGUAUGUAUCAGAUCAACUUUGUGCAGAACAUUUCUUCUCAGAUAUAAGAAGGUGGGAAGAGAGCCACCGGUAGAAUUUCCCCUGUUGCAAAACAAUGAAAGAAAGCAAUUUGAAAGUUCACAAUAUACGAAAUUCAUCUUUCAUUCAUAGAAUGUGUCUAGCCCAUUUUAUACUGAUGUUUGCUUGUUUAGGAAUGCAUGCCUGCACGUUACUGCUUGUGGAAAAGAAGUUUACUAGCCAAGGAAUGUCUGGACUCUUACUGGAAAUCCCAUGUAAAUGCAGGACGUAGAUGCAAAUGAAGUCUCUGGUACUGUGAUGCCAAUAAGUAUAAACCUGAAGUCUCAUCAAGUAAUUGAGUGCAAAGAAACUGAAGAAGCUGUCAGACAUUCUCAUGUGUUGUCUGUGCUGUAAUUGUUUCCAGUGGUCAGCAAAAAACGAAAUAGAACCAUAAGGUUUUAAAGAUUAGGCUUCAUGUCUCCCGCGAAGUCUAAUACAUGAUAUGGCCCUUUCCUGGAACUCUGAAUACAGUGAAAGAGAAUGAUGAAGCAGAAGAAUGGGCAUUAUGCCAUUGCAUCAGAUGAAAGGGACGUUGGUGGAUAUUUGCCAUGGGAAUUCUUGACUGUUAAGCACUUGAUCUACUGUCUGUUAGCUCAUGGGAAUGGAACUAGUAAACUUGGGAAACCUCAAAUAAAUUCCCAUUGUAUAUACAAUAUAAUCCAAAACAGAAUUUUCUUGGGAACAAUUGCUAAUGAUACUGGAAGUCAUCCUUGUUGAAUGGAAGAAGAGAUAAUUUUCUGUUAUCCAUUUCAGUACAGAUGCUGAAGAUUUUUAGCCAAUAGUUACAAGAUGCAUAGUCUAUCUUCAGUUAAAUCUUUAUUUUAAGCAUCAUCCUAUUCAGGUGCUACAGAGAACAUUUUUUUAAAGUCUGCAUCUGCCACCCUUACAAUGACAUGAGGAACCUUUAAAAUUACCUAGGUGAUAAAUUGCUGUUUCAGAAGAAUUCUUGAAUG